CACAAGAGAAGGGCGAGAUGUCUAGAGAUCAAGUGACCAGUAUUAAUCACAAUGCUGACAACAGCGAUUGUAAAGAUUGCAGAAUUGGCUGGCAGCUUCAGAAGGCCUGAGAGCAUGUACACAAGAGAAGAGUUAAUGGAAGACCAUGAAUGUCCCAUGCAGACCACACGUGGGCGAGCAGCAGUCUCCAUGGCAUAUUUGAUCUUGCAAAGCAGGCCCACAAAGAGACUGAGAUCUCCACAUAGCCACCCCUCCCCCAGAAACAAAAGGAUUCAUCUGGCAAAAGAACACUGAAGGAGUUGUAGGAUCUCACCAUUUUGUUUUGGCAAGAAUUUGGAAAAAUCCAUCGGAUUUCACUCAGAAAGUGUUAGAGCAACAAGAGUGAACUAUAAGACUUGGAUUAGGACAUGUUUCCUAAUGUAUUUGAGCUACCUUAAAAAUGGAAAUUUAUUGAGUACUUGGCAAUGACAAUCGUCUGCUGGAUGGAUUAAUUAAAGCCUGCAUCUAAAUAUGCUUUAAAAUGAAGGAGUGUAAAUCCUGAUGUUCCCCUGGCAUGCUUUCAC
rnacentral:lncRNA from 1 species